AAGGGAGAGAGCAUUCACUACUGAGUUGGCAAGGUUUUACAGAAUGGUUUUUGUCAUCCCUACAGGUAAAACAUGAAGAGGUGGCCAAAGGUGUCCAUAAACAAAAAGUUGGUUAAGAAGGUUGGACUACAGCUGCCCUGAAAGCUCUUCCAUUAAAAGCAAAUCCAUCUCAUUGCCCAUAUGAGGCAGAAGAUCACGAAGAAGUAGCUGGAUCCUUACAUGACACCCCAGUGAGCCUUGGGAGAUGGAGGGGGCAGUUGGCAUUGAGUUGAUUCCGGAGUUAUUUCCUGAUUAUGGAUUAAUUCUUGCCUUACUAAGAUCAGUAUUGAAACACCAAGCAUCAUUAGAUGCAUCUCCCAGGUUUCCAGCUGAAGAUUUCACCAUGGUAGAAAAUAAGCCAACCAUCCUAUUCCAUCAACAAUAGUGCCUCUGUGUUUUAUAAACAUAAAAAGCAGCGUCUUAUAAAUAGGGAUUAUAAAAGAAACAUCUCU
rnacentral:lncRNA from 1 species